AUGGUGGUUGACAAGUUCCACUCUUGUGACGACUUCGAUCUAGGAUCUUUCAAGAGGGGGAGGGGGGGCAGGAGAUGUACAGAGGUGACCAUCACCGAUCCUCUUUUCACCACCAACGCCUUGUCUGCUAAGGUCUCUACCCCAUCCGGCGCCGGCACGCCGUGGUGGAUCACCGUGGUCUAUGGACCGCAGCAUGACGACGCCAAGGUAGCCUUCUUGCAAGAGCUACACGACAUCCGCGAUGAAUGCCCGGGCCUAAUUGCGCCUUCGUGCGUCCGUGGUUUUCUCCCGCAAGGGUUUCCACGUAAAAAUUUGUGUGCUCUCGUGUCUCGUUUAUUCUCGUUUUAUCUAACAAGUGGUAUCAGAGCCAAGUUGCAGAUACGAGAUUUGAGACGAGAGAUUAGGGUUGUUGUUGUGUGCGCCGUCGUGUCCGUGCGUUCCGCCGAGUCCGAGACGAGGUCUGCUGCACGGGUGAUUUAUCAGCAGCAUUGCUACCCAAGACCGACAGGAGUAUCGUACAUACGCGUACAGAUCGACCGAACGCUACAGCCUUCCGCCAAGUUGUCGUCGCUGCUCCACGUACAGGCUACAAGUCCCGAGGCUCAAGGACGAUUUGAUUGCUCCACCUUCACGUGGUCAAGCCAGUGCCUGAUUGAUCUACUACUUCCGCGCUACACAUUUAAUCUACUCAUGGCAUCCAUGAAGUACGAUGUUCCGUUGUUGGAUCGUGACACAAGGUUUACCCUAUGGCAAGUCAAGAUGCGGGCGUUGUUGGCACAUGCCGACUAUGAUGAAGCAGUGGAUAGUUUUGGGAAGAAUCAGAUUCAGGACAGGACUGAUGCGGAGAAAAGAAUAGAUCAAGUUUUGAGCAAGAAAACUGUCGCCGCUCUAUGGUUAAAGCUAGAAGGGAUUUGCAUGACAAAAGACCUCACCAGCAAGAUGCAUCUGAAGCAAAAAUUAUUCCUGCACAGGUUACCCGAGGGAGUUUAUGAAGCUUUGAACUCUAAGGAGAAGAUGAAACUAAUGGUGCCUCAUGAUGGUUCAAGUUCAUUCCAAGCUGAGGGAUUAUCUGUUCGUGGCAGGACAAAGGAAAAGAACUCACAUAAUGGAAACAAAGGCAAAAUGUGUUUCAAGUUGCAGAACAAGGAAAAGAGGAAAGGUAACAAACAAGGUGAAAAUUCUGCUAACGUUGCUCGUGAUGAUAGUUCCGAUGAUGCUCUUGUCGUUAUUGCUGGAUGUGCUGAGACCAAUGAUGAGUGGGUACUUGACACUGCAUGCGCUUUUCAUAUGUGUCCACAUAGGGAUUGGUUUAAUACUUUUGAUUCCACUACUUCUGGUUCCAUUUUGGGUUUUGAUAAUUCACCAUGCAAGAUUGAAGGCAUAUGUUCCAUUCGAAUCAAGAUGUUUGAUGGCACAAUCAGAACUUUGACAGAUGUUCGGUAUAUUCCGAAGAUGAAGAGAAAUCUUAUUUCUAUGAGUGCCCUUGAUGCAAAGGGGUACAAAUAUUCAGGUGGAGAUAGUGUUUUGAAGGUCACCAAAGGCUCCCUUGUUGUGAUGAAAGAUGACUUAAGUUCAACCAAUGGUCUUUAUUACCUUCGAGGUUCUACCGUUUCAGGUAACGCUACUCCAGUUGUUUCAAAGAGUUCUGAUUGUGAUGCUGCUAACCUUUGGCGUAUGCGUCUGGGACAUAUGAGUGAACUUGGUUUAGCAGAGUUAAAUAAGAAAGGUUUUCUUGAUGGAUAUGAACUUGGUAAAUUAAAAUUUUGUGAGCAUUGUAUCUUCGGCAAACACAAGAUGGUGAAGUUCAACACUUCGACUCAUACAACUGAAGGUUUUAAAUUGUGGAAUCCUGAAACCCAGAAGGUUGUUAUUAGCAGAAAUGUUAUCUUCAAUGAAACUGCUAUGUUACAUGAUGUUCCAUCUACUACUAUUCUUCUUGAGAGUGAACAGCAGCCUACUGUUCAGGUGGAGCAUGUUAUUGAUUGA
rnacentral:rRNA from 1 species